GAGGCCCAGAGUUCGGGUGGUCUGAAUCGGUGAGCCCUGCUCCAGCUGCUGCUGGUGUGGCUGAAGAGGAUGUGGCCCAGGAUCUUCCCCGUGCCCCAACUCCUCAUGCCGCAGCUGCGAGAUGGGGGC